rnacentral:rRNA from 1 species
GAUGAACGCUGGCGGCGUGCCUAAUACAUGCAAGUCGAGCGAACAGACGAGGAGCUUGCUCCUCUGACGUUAGCGGCGGACGGGUGAGUAACACGUGGAUAACCUACCUAUAAGACUGGGAUAACUUCGGGAAACCGGAGCUAAUACCGGAUAAUAUAUUGAACCGCAUGGUUCAAUAGUGAAAGACGGUUUUGCUGUCACUUAUAGAUGGAUCCGCGCCGCAUUAGCUAGUUGGUAAGGUAACGGCUUACCAAGGCAACGAUGCGUAGCCGACCUGAGAGGGUGAUGGGCCACACUGGAACUGAGAAACGGUCCAGCCUCCUACGGGAGGCAGCAGUAGGGAAUCUUCCGCAAUGGGCGAAAGCCUGACGGAGCAACGCCGAGUGAGUGAUGAAGGUCUUCGGAUCGUAAAACUCUGUUAUUAGGGAAGAACAAAUGUGUAAGUAACUAUGCACGUCUUGACGGUACCUAAUCAGAAAGCCACGGCUAACUCCGUG